GACGAAGGGGGCUAGCGUUGUUCGGAAUUACUGGGCGUAAAGCGCGUGUAGGCGGUUAUCCAAGUCAGGGGUGAAAGCCUUGAGCUCAACUCAAGAAAUGCACUUGGUACUGGGUGACUAGAGGACCGGAGAGGAUAGUGGAAUUCCCAGUGUAGUGGUGAAAUACGUAGAGAUUGGGAAGAACACCAGUGGCGAAGGCGGCUAUCUGGACGGUUUCUGACGCUGAGGCGCGAAAGCCAGGGGAGCGAACGGG
rnacentral:rRNA from 1 species